UCAAAAAAAGGUGCAAUGAUGCAUAUGUUUCCACAAGCUUUAGAAUGUCGAAAAAUAUGGACAGAAAAUGAAAUAAGACUUGAAAUGAGACUUGAAUAAGACUUGAAAUUUGCCGCCUUUACAUGCUGUGAAACGGAAAAUGGCGACUUCCGUCACAUUGGCACAACUCUCCUUAUAGAAACUUUAGCCGGCGCAACCGUGGUUCCCUCUUUUUGAGCAACUAAUAGUUGGUCGUCCAGUCCUGCUCGAGCCGAAUAUUAACAUGUUAUCAUUUCCUUUCAGGGAGUUCCACCCGAAAUGGAGAACAAUUUCCCUGGCGGCCGCGAAAUUAUCCGUCAAGCCUUCCUGUUCUGAGAAACUCCAGCGUCCAUCACGAAAUCCACUAUCGUACAGUAUACUAAACCCUUGAGAUUGUGAUUGUUUUUCCUGAAGGAGAAACAGAUUAAUUGUUUCUCCUUCUUUAGUAAUUUCUCCCCACCGAUCCCACUGGUGCUGGAAUUCUUAUCUAAUGCAUUGAGCAACAUUGGCUACUCGAGUAUAAAUUCCUAUCGCUCGGCAAUCUCCUUGUUGUCCACAGAGGAGGUGGACUCACACCCCUUGGUAAGAAGAUUUCUCAGGGGAGUCGCGGCACUGAAAUCACAACGUACCCGAUACGACUUCGUUUGGGACCCAUCGCCAGUCAUCGCCUAUUUGGCUAGGUUAUACCCAUAUGAAGAUCUCCCACUCGACCGAAUAUCAAAGAACCUGGUAAUCUUAUUCUCGUUGACGAUUGCGCAAAGACUGCAGACCCUAGCAGCUAUCAAAAUUGCUAAUAUAACCAUUUCAAAUUCAUUACUUAUUGACAUACAUUAAAGAUCCCGGCUAGACUGAAGACAUCAAAAAUCGGGAAAUUCCAACCGCUCCUAAUUUUAAAUCCUUUCUUAGCCAAGCCAGAACUUUGUGUCGUCAGGCUAGUGAAAGUCUACUUUGAGCUCACCCAAAAAAUCAGACAGGAGAGAUGUGAUGCACUCUUUAUUUCCUUGCGUCCUCCGCAUAAGACGGUUACGUCACAAACCUUGGGCCGCUGGGUCAAAGAUAUACUGAAAGCAGAAAUUGACAUUCCCAUCCUCUCUGUCCAUUCCACUCGGCAUGCCUCUACUUUCUUCGCAGCUAACAAGGGAGUUUCCUUGUUAGAAAAAAUCAGGCGAACAGCAGGAUGAACUGAAACCACAAAAGUAUUCACACAAUUUUACAAUCGACCAAUCAUCAAAGAUACAUCUUUCCAAAACGCAAUUCUGGAUAUGCCUUAAAUUUCCUGUUCUCUCGGAUUAAAAUCGGAAACGCAUAGUCACAUAAACUUUGUUCGCCUUUAUUUCAUUUUUACUAAUAUGCGACUACAAUACUCAAGCUAACCUCCUAGCGUUUUUAGUUAUAUCUGUUCGCUACAUUUGAAAACAGUUGUUUAUAAAGGCACUGUGUCCCUUGUAUUUGCUUUACAAAUAAAGCUGUCGCAACUCUCGUGAGCCCGACAAAUCUGGGCGUUUAAUUUCUACAAUCUGUCCAUCUGGACGAGCGUUGCAUAAUUGAAGAAUUGAACGAACUUACCGCGAAGUUCGAUUGCAAUUAUGCUGUCUCGUCUGGAUGGAUGCUCUCACCCAUCCACCUCCAAGACUCAGAUUUGUCAAUAUUGAAGUAAUGAACUUCCGGUGGUGCGUGCACGGUAAGACGCCUGGGUGCACGCCUAGAGGCGAGGCAUAGGCACCAAAUUUGAAUUUGGAGGCGUUAAAGCAAACCUGUUAGGGAAAGACGCAGCGGAACGCUAUUACAAUCUACAAUCUAUCCAUCCGGGCGAGACAGCAUAAUUGCAAUCAAACUUCACGGUAAGUUUGUUCAAUUUUUUAAUUAUACGAUUGCUCCAAGAUCCAACAAAAGAUGAACAAAGAUCCAACAAAUACCUUGACGAGCAUUUUGAGACAAUCAAUGUACAAUUAAAGUCUCUGUUUCACAAACAGACUUUAAUAUAAAAUGCAGACAAGAAAAAUUUUGACGAAGAAAAAUACACUUUUUGGUUUUCAGUUUCUUACAUUCCUAGAAUUUAUGACAAAUUUAAGUAUGUUACCUAAACGCCAAAUUAUCGUUUUACGUCUGAACGAGCUUAGUAGGUUCAUUAGAGUUCACAAAGAUGUUCUCUAUAGAGAAUAAAUGAAAAACGCAGUUUAUGGGUGAUAUUCAUAGUCGAAUCUUAAAGAUCGUCUCAAGCAAUGUCUUAAGAUGCUAAUACGGCUCUGUGAUUGGCUGAUGGCAUCUUAACCCUUUGCGGCACGGUGGUCGAUAUAUCGACCACCUAUCUUGAAGUCAUUUCUUUAAUUUUUCGGACACCAAAUACUGUAUUUUAUUACUUUUUCUUGUAAUUUUACUUUAGUAAGAGUCUUAGUAAUAUUUGGUAAGGUAUAAUUUUCCUUUAUUAUUAGUUAAUUUUGUUAUAUAAAUAAAUAAAGUG